GUUUCCUUGGUAACGCAGCUAACGCGUGAAGUUGACCGCCUGGGGAGUACGGCCGCAAGGUUAAAACUCAAAGGAAUUGACGGGGACCCGCACAAGCGGUGGAUGAUGUGGAUUAAUUCGAUGCAACGCGAAAAACCUUACCUACGCUUGACAUGUCAGGAACUUUCCAGAGAUGGAUUGGUGCCCGAAAGGGAACCUGAACACAGGUGCUGCAUGGCUGUCGUCAGCUCGUGUCGUGAGAUGUUGGGUUAAGUCCCGCAACGAGCGCAACCCUUAUCAUUAGUUGCUACGCAAGGGCACUCUAAUGAGACUGCCGGUGACAAACCGGAGGAAGGUGGGGAUGACGUCAAGUCCUCAUGGCCCUUAUGUGUAGGGCUUCACACGUCAUACAAUGGUCGGUACAGAGGGUCGCCAACCCGCGAGGGGGAGCCAAUCCCAGAAAGCCGAUCGUAGUCCGGAUUGCAGUCUGCAACUCGACUGCAUGAAGUCGGAAUCGCUAGUAAUCGCGGAUCAGCAUGUCGCGGUGAAUACGUUCCCGGGUCUUGUACACGCCGCCCGUCACACCAUGGGAGUGGGUUUUACCAGAAGUAGUUAGCCUAACCGCAAGGA
rnacentral:rRNA from 1 species